CGCUGGCGGCAGGCUAACACAUGCAAGUCGAGCGCGCCUUCGGGUGAGCGGCGGACGGGUUAGUAACGCCUACGUGCCCUUCUCUACGGAAUAGCCUCUGGAAACGGAGAGUAAUACCGUAUACGCCCUUUGGGGGAAAGAUUUAUCGGAGAAGGAUCGGCCCGCGUUAGAUUAGUGUAGUUGGUGGGGUAAUGGCCUACCAAGCCUACGAUCUAUAGCUGGUUUUAGAGGAUGAUCAGCAACACUGGGACUGAGACACGGCCCAGACUCCUACGGGAGGCAGCAGUGGGGAAUCUUAGACAAUGGGGGCAACCCUGAUCUAGACCAUGCCGCGUGAGUGAUGAAGGCCUUAGGGUCGUAAAGCUCUUUCGCCUGUGAUGAUAAUGACAGUAGACAGGUAAAGAAACCCCGGCUAACUCCGUGACCAAGCAGCCGCGGUUAAUACGGAGGGGGUUAGCGUUGUUCGGAAUUACUGGGCGUAAAGCGCGCGUAGGCGGAUUACAAAGUUGGGGGUGAACAUCCCGGGGCUCAACCCCGGAACUGCCUCCAAAAACUGCGUAGUCUAAGAGUUUCGACGAGCAGGGUGAGUGGAAUUUCCCCAGUGUAAGAGAGGUGAAAAUCCGUAAGAUAUACCGGAGGGAAACACCAGGUUGCGAAGGCGGGCUCAAUGGCAUCCAUACUGAC
rnacentral:rRNA from 1 species